UACGAAGGGGGCUAGCGUUGUUCGGAGUUACUGGGCGUAAAGCGCGCGUAGGCGGACCUGCAAGUCGGGGGUGAAAGCCCGAGGCUCAACCUCGGAACUGCCUUCGAUACUGCGGGUCUCGAGUCCGGGAGAGGUGAGUGGAAUUCCUAGUGUAGAGGUGAAAUUCGUAGAUAUUAGGAAGAACACCAGUGGCGAAGGCGGCUCACUGGCCCGGUACUGACGCUGAGGCGCGAAAGCGUGGGGAGCAAACAGG
rnacentral:rRNA from 1 species